CCUCGCUGCAGUUAGUAUUAAUUGUUUUUUCAGCUGGAGGACAAUUCCUCAAUGGUUGCUCGGCCUUCAUGCCAUAGGGUAUCUGCAGCAGCUCGUAAAUGAGCUAUGUGGCCGGGCGUUAAGUAGGAAGUUCACACACUCCUUUCCCAUGCUAUAGCCGUUCGUCGAACAGAGCCUUUCUGCAGAGUUGUCAAUCUGUCAUCUUCCCUUGGCUUCACAUUUUAUUGAAAAAAAAAAAAAAGGAAUUUGAAAAGUUACAGUAAGUUGAACAGUUUGUCAGACAUAACGUACUCGCAGGCUAUUGUCUGCAAAUUACAGGCUGGCUCGGUCUUUCAGCCUGUCAUGGAUGGAUCAUAAAGCUGUCAUAAGCAAAGCUCUUAACAAAAUCCAUUUGCACGGCUCCUGUUAUGGCAGAGCAUGGCGAGGAAGCAAUAGGACUAAUUUUUGAGGAAUUUCCUGUCCAGGAGCUUUUUAAUCCAGUUGGAAGUCUUUGCUGGUCACUCCCAGUAGAUGUUUUCCCUGAUUAUCCCUGGAUUCAUGUGACAAAACACACGCAAUUGUCACUUUCAUUCAGAAAGGGGUCACGGUUCACAUACUAGUCUGAGUGCAUAACUACUGGAUUUAAUCACUAGGAGGGAGAGGGUUACCUGAUAGGCCUUGGACUGCAGCUAAACCACGUGUAAAUCACCAGAAUUCGGGUGAUUAUCACCCAAAUCAAUGGCAAAAUAAAAAGCAGUGCAAACUCCAGUCUUGCAGAGGUUUAAUCUCAGACAAAAGUUAGUUGCUGUAAGUAAUCCCACUGAUGGCAGGUAAAACCCUGCGAAUGCUGAACUAUUUAGGAUCAGGGCUUAAACCCCUGGCAUUUCAUUCCUGUAUAAUUUCUUCUGAAAGGUUACAGAGCAGUGUUUGUAACUACAAAAGCAAUGUAAUAGGACACUUUUCCAACUAUUUUAUCUAUGGAUUCUGGGUUUGCUCUUUAUAUUUCCCCAGGUUUUGCUCUUCUAUUGAGUAGGUACGUAAGGGUGAAGGUGUUGCCUUCUCUGCUCCUCUUCUUCCUCUCCAGUUGAACAAGGAAAUUACUCUUAAAAAAUCUAGGAAGGACAGAAAAGCCCAAGAUCUGAAGAUGUUCUGAAACUUCCAGGGCCCAGAAGUUAAAGGACAUAAUUAGGAGGAGGACUCUCGGAGCAGUGCAUCAGUUCUCUAUCUGCAGUUCAUCUGUUUCACCCAUUUAGAAGUGACAGUUUGCAGCCCUAAUGCGAGAGUGUUUCUCAUUAUCUGUGCUCUGGAAAUGCACAGCGUCAUUACAAGUUUUGAAAGAUGCUUUCUUCAAAACUACAAAUGCAUUACACGGGUGAGUUUGCUCUCUGGUUAGUCAUACUGAGCUGCUGUGGUCUGCACCCGUUCUGGGGGUGGCACUAAAGACAAAGCCCCAAAAACUGAACCUCUGUGUCAAGUCCCAUGCACAUCACGGAUGGAAUGAUGCAGACACACAUCCUGUAACACGAUUUAGCCUUGCCUUUGUCCAGGGAAGAUAAUGGUUGUGAAGCUUUAUUGCUUUCCUUGUCUCACAGAUGGAUGUCAGGUUUGUUGGACUUUCUCCUGAAGAUUUUAGGGGAGGGGAAUGUGUUGGCUGCGCUGCUGACAGAUACCCUCAGGGGAACUGUCCACGCUCAUUGGAGAUUUCUCUCCUCUAUCUCCAGCCAUCUACGAAUUCAGUUUCGAGGCUCAGAUAGUUGUUCAGGUUGUCACUGUCGUAAAGGAAGAGAGAUACAGACUUCUGGAGGCGAUUAACCCGUAGGAACAGAUGUAAUUUCGUUUCUUGACAUGAUUUCCUGCCCCCGAAAAGAAGGAUUUUGAGACUACGUGGCUGUCCUCGGGAGACCGCAGAUGGGUUUGUCUUGGGUGAAGGUUGUAAUCAGCUUGAACAGAGCUGCCAGCAGCAGGCAGAGUGCGUGCAGGUAGGACACUGCAGAAGGAAACAACAAGUACAAUGCUUCACUCCUUGAAUUACGCUACAGCAGGGCAAAGCUUGAGGCUUUUUGUGCCUUGGAAGCGGUUCUAUCCUGUCCACGUUGUAAAACGGCUGUGUUUAAACCCUGUUAGAGCAGCAUCUUCUCUUGCACCACGAGACCAGUGUUAUUCACAGCCACAUGGGGUUUCCUGACAUCAGGAGACGCCGUGCUGCUGCUCUGGGCACUCUGUUCCUCUGCGAUGGACCUGCGGAGUGCGAGCACUCAGUGUUGACACGAUCCUGCAGAUGCCGUUCGGGUGUGUUUGUUCUGCCAGCUGAGCUGAGACGCCGAAGACAGGUUACAAAAAAUACAUCUGUUUGAAAAGAAAUUGUGGAGAACACACUCAAGUGGUAAGAGUUCCAGGAAAGUGCCUUGUGUCAGACUUCCUAGAAGCAGUGCUGCAACCAGGUGGUAAGUGCCAGUGCUGCGUAGUCCGUAAUUAACACGGUCCUUGCGCUGGGUUUGGGCACUCGCCUUCUCUCCAUGUUGCGAACACCACCUCGGUGGGAGCUGGCAGACAGGUGGGCUGCUUUUCAGGCCAUCCUUUGGAACAAAUUUUCAAUGUGCAGGGAUUAAUACAUAACUUCUGUCACACUCCAUUACUGCUGCUGCUGUUAAAAAUAGCGUGCUUUACCAUCUAGGAGACGUUUCACACAUCGUUUUGCUGUCACUAGAGGGAGUUUGCAGCAGUGCUUCUCUUACCGACUUCCUUGGUGAUCUCGGUGCUGUGGGCAGAGCUCAGCAGACGCCGUGCGUGAAUAGGAGACGGCAGGAAUGAAAGUAGGACAAAGGUCCUGCCUCCCUGCUUAAACCCUUGUACGCAAUGUCCGAGCUCGACUAACCAAAUUCUUCAGGGUGACAGAGCUGGAAGCAAUUCUCUCUGUUGGUAGCGCUGUAAUAGAAAACAAAUGAGCAUCCAGUGACUCAAGGCAGAGCCAAGGGUAAGAGUAAGAAAACAACAUCAAUUAUUUAAUAGGAAAAACAAAGAUGGAAAAAACCAACCUGGAUAGGUGCUCCUCUGUGGCAUUUCCGAUUUGUUGUUACAGGAACAUCAUCUCAGCUAGAAGCAAGCUCCCUCAGGAAGCUGGUUUCAUAUGGUGGUUUAGAUUUAACUAUUUAUUGUCUAGCACCAUUUGAAAUCAGUGUUCUUGGAGGAAGAAUGCCUGCGUUCGUCAGUGAAACAGCUCCUUGGAAACGUUGGUGGAAAAGAAAAGGUCAAAAUGUGCUUCUGCCAUUAGACUUAGCUCCACCACCAACCAAGUGACCUCAGGAGGCUGGGACCUUUGAGUUUAUGGCCGUGGGAGAGCAUCACAAGGGGCAGAAAUUCUGGUGUAAUACUGCUGGGCAGUAACAUGUUUACAGCACUUGUAGGUGGUGAACCAGAACUCGGAGACAGAGAAGGGCUUACGAGACAUAAACACUGCAAAAAAAAUGUAAUAUGGAAUUGCAACACAGCAUCAAGGCACUGAUGGUAAUGCACCCACACUUAAAUCACAUCUAACACCAGUGUCUGUGACAAUGGGACCACGCAGGCUGAGGCUACCCAAAAUCGAAGUAUUUGUGGUGUUUUAAUACUGGCUGUACAAUUUUAAACAAGCACGUAACUAAUGAUUUUGAAAGUUUCCACCUUCUAUAUAUUAUAACAAUACAACAUUUUUUUAUUGAAUAAUACCACAGAGGUAAUUAAUUAAUAUUCAUCAAGCAUUUGGGAAACCUCCAGUGUAAAAUACUAUCCGGUACUUAACUCUUCAUCCUUGCAGAUCUUGGUAACCCCUUUGGAGGAUGACUGAUUUCUUUUGGUGUUCAGAGUCAAUAAUAUUUUCUAGCACCAUUUGAAAUCGGUUAUAGUGAUUGGGGAAUUGCUCCUUGUGAAUUUUAUACGAGAGUCUCCAAAGAGAAUCUUCAAUGUUAUUACCUAGGACUGAAAAAAAAAAGGGAAGUGGUAUUUCGGUGAACAGAGUUACUGAAUGCAGAAGUAUUACAUAUUUAAGCUGUAGUGUUGUUUGGUGCCUUUAUAUAGCUGGAGAUUCUUGCUAGGAGAAAAUGCAGUUCACAGCUGUAGACAGAAGAUGUAAAAUAAGCAUCGUGAGGUUUUGGUGUAGGUCAUCAGUGCAAAGAUGCUUUGGCAAGAGGGAAGAUAAAGGCAGAUUGUUUUCCCAAUGGAAAUUACCAGUAUGGACUCAAGAUCAAGAAAAAAAAAAAAAGAGAAAAAAAAAAGAGAGAAAAAAAAAAAAAGAAAACACUUGGUUUAAUGAUCUAGCCAGGAGGUAUGACAAUACAAAAAAGCAGCAGGAACCCUUCCAAUCUCCAAUUACUGUACUCCGGACAUGCUGAAAGACAGAUCUUGGGAAGGAUUUCAUUGCUAACCUAAGAGCUUUUUGCCUUCUCUUCUCUUACACUGUUAACAGCAUAAGCCACAAAACUGAGUCAUCUUCCCAAGGACGCUGUAGUACCUAAGAAGUUUUCCCGAGAACUGCACUCUUCAGGGAAACACAACUGGCCAGAGAUGCGGAGUCCAAGUCUGGGUCGUGUCCCCGGUUGCAGCAGGAUCUCAUUAGCCGUGAAGAUAAUUUCUGAAACGCAUUCCUCAGCCAGAUUAUCAUCCUGCAUCUAGCUUUUGGGGAGGUAGUGACACAGACAGCAAUACAUGCCUCUAGCAGGGGAGCCUUUCCUAAAUGAACUGGUAAGAGCAGGAAUCUGCUGCCUUUCCCUGCUCUCUGGUAUGGAGAAAACUACAAAAUUGCUACAGACAGCAGACAACUGCAGCAGCUUUUGGGUAUUCAGAGACAUUCCUGAGCUGGCUGGGGGCAGCAGAUUCACCCUUCUCUUUCCCCUGCUCUGUCUUUCCAUCAGCAUAUCCUCCAUUUCAUCAGCAGCACAUCCUCUGUUUUUUCACUGUUUUUUUAUCCUCCCUUUUAUCCUCAGCAUAUCCUCCCUUUUAUUUCUGCUUGUUUAACUAAGGAGGGAUCAAGUCAUCACGAUCCGAAAGAGACUCGAGUGUGAAAAGUGCACGGCCUCUACGUCUCUCACUUGCAUCCUUCUGUGAAAUCCACCCGCGUGGUUUUUGUUUAAACCCUCAGAAGUGGGUAGGACUGUGUUCUGUUAGUCCUUGAGUUACCAUAAAGGGGUGAAAACGCUGAAAACUUGGAAUAUGGAGUAGUGUGUUUGUGGCACUGUGAUGCCAAGAGCUGACACCUGCCCACGGACGUGUUUGGGGGAGUUUGACAGAUGUUCUUAGAGAGGUUACAAGCUGUACAGAACGAAGCAUUGCUCUCCUGAAGUGUUCCUUACCAGUAAUCCGUGUGUUUGAAGUCUCUUUGCUGCUGAAGUAGCUCCCACCCAGACCUUUUUUUUGAGUGGUUGCUUGUGCAAAGUCCUUCAGCCUAUUUGGAGUUCAGCGGCUUCCCAAGUGAGAAAAACCAGAGCUGCUAAGUACUUGGAUCUCGUAAAGGCUUUUCUGACGUGAGUACCAUUGCUGGUGUGCCCGUGCCCUGUGGCUUCUCAGAUCCCUCCUGCAGCAGCAGGGGAAAGAAAGAAUGAAAAAAGGUGGGAAGGAAGGAGAAAACUGCUGCAUGAAAACAAAAUCCACUGUAAAAUACAUGCAUGAGGAAGGGAGGAGAAUUGUAUAAUGGGUUUCUUUCUUUUUUUCUUUUUUUUUUUUUUUGAUCCUAUUUACUCUCAGUACUCGGUCUUUUUAGAAGUGAAGCUACCAGAAGACAGUCGUCUUGUCAGGCAGCCAGAUUGAGAUGCAAAGCAGCGCUUAUGCAAAUUGCAUCCAAAGUGCUCCUCGGGUACCACGGCGUAUAACUUCAGCUGCUGGUGGGUCUGCUCAUCCUGCUGCCUGACACCCUGUAGCAGGUGUAAAGUGCAGGGAGGUUGCUUUGUGGUCUGCAAAGUGUCUCCAAUCGCUGACUGGUCUUUUGGAGCGGCGUUAAAAUGAAGUGAGAACUCGUACUAAGCCCAGACAGCUCUGGGAGUCAGCCACUGCUGUUGCCCCAGCAAUCAGGGAUUAGCAUAAAGGAUGCUUGAGGAUGGAGGAAGAUGGCUAGUGGGAGUAUUUUAACACAAAAUAUUUUAGGAAUGCCUUUUGAUGUACUGUUGUUGUAUUAUGGGGGCAUUAAAACACGUUACUACACGAUCAUAAAUUUAAUGUCAGAUUCAUUUAUCUCAGACUUCGGUGAUCCUCCAUCGUUACCUUCAGACACCUGGAUUUUGCAUAGGGGAGCUCUGCAAAGUCCAUCGUGUUUUUUAGGGGGGAAAUGUCUUGAUUCCAUUAAAUAAGAGCUUGGGAUGAUGCUGGAGAAGUGUUUUGUGUUCAUGGCAGAUAAAUUAUGGCUCAGGACCACAGUUUGUAGCAGCCUCGUCCUUACAUUAAUGAAACAUGCAGGCAUAAAAUGUUUGUAAAAGGGUGGAAUAGAAAAUAAGACAACACAGUGUUAUUCUGAUAUAUUGCUCCUAAGUCUUCCAAAGCUGUUUGAGACUUGAUAGCCAAAAAUAACCUGCAUGAGGGAUCUGUCGUGUUGGAUCUGCAGGGGUACAAGUGGAAUAGAUGCGGGUAGCAUGGGUUUUGCUGCAGGCUGUGUCCAGCUGGGAUGUUUGCUACAUACGGAACCAGGCUUAGGCUGAGAGCUUUCUGGUGCUGUAAAACACAGGAUUAGAGCUCCCAACUCAUAGAGUAUGCCAGGAGAGCAAAUUCACGUCUGGGUAAUGCUAAUAAAAACAAAAUUCAUUGAGUUGUGUCCGGAGAGGACAGCGAAGCAGCCUUUGGCUUCUGAUGUGACUCCUGCAUAGGUGAGAGCUCUUUUCACGUCCUUCAGGAUGGUUCUGCAGAGACUUGUCCUGCUGCUGGACACAGUUCAUGGAGGUGAUGGCUCCUGCUCUCCAGUGGUGCCCAUCAGAUGCUGAAGAUGCAUCUCCCAUUGAAAAGGUUCAGAGAUUUGAGUUUUCAGGCAUAAAACUCAGCUUUGUGCUCCUUUCUCGGCCACUGAGCAUUCUUAUGGACAGCAGGAGAGUUUUUAAUGGUCGCCCUGCACAAAAAGGAGAGGCAAGCCAUGGAAUUACAAGGAUUUGUAUUGAAGGUCAGCAUUCAGGUCUCACAUUGCAUGCUCGGUUGUUGCAGAGGCCAGAUUUGCUCAGGCCCAAAUGGGCAAAGCAAUUUUAAUAUUCAGGUUCUGCAUGUCCCCAUCCAGGUGCCAGUCAGUGCUGCCUGCUGGCUGUGCUCCUGGGGCAGCUCUGCAGCAGCCUGGUAGAUGCAGUGACUAAGCUCAUCACCUCCAAGGGACUCCAGAGCCCUUUUCCGUACUCGAUUUUGCCAUUAUUUAAUCUGCCCGUCCUUACUGUGGAAGAAACCUAGAGGAAUGGGGGUCUCCCAAAUGGUUUGUCAUUACCAGAAAUACCUUGGGCGGAGGGGAUUGCCUGCCCAAAGGAGCAGGCUCCAGGCAGAUCAGAGCCUGCCCAGAGCACAUCUGGGAGGCGAAAAUUUCUCAGGAAAUCCACGAAGAUGAUCUCAGGCUGCUGGGUUUUCAAAUAGGCUGCUGUGUGAAGGCUCUGCUGCAUUUCCAAGGUGAGAACCGAAGCCAGAGCUGAAGCGUUCGCUUCAGGGAAGAGAAAUUUCCUUGUUUCACUGCAAGGAAAUUUGCAGAUUUCAGAACUUGGAGAACUUCAGAGCAAAACGAUGGUGUAAAAGAAAAAAUAUAUAUAUAUUUAAGAUUUGCUUGGAAAGCCUGAGACGCUCAUGAAUAAUUGCUAACGCAGCCUUCCCACGGCCGCUCGGCAGCACCGCAGCACAACCGUGUUUGUCACCAUACCGAGAUGUUUUCUGGCAACCCUGGAAUUUCUGUGAUGUUUUUGUUCGUCGUGGAGCUGUCGCUUAUCUUUUAAUUUCCCAAAUGUAAACGGUUCUGAGGAAGCAGAUCUGCAAAAAGGACUUGAAGAAGAGUUGAAGAGCGAGGUGCGUGUGUGCUGCAUUGUGAGCGAAGCCAGCGCAUCGGUCGUAAGGAGCGGGGUGGGCAACCUGAGGGGUUUGGAGCCUGUCCUGUGUCGUGCCCUAAUGUCUAUUUUAAUACUCCUGAGUUUAGCAAGGAUUUCAAAAUCUGAAUCAAAUCCUCUUCUCAGUGUGCUCUGAGCAUGUGUUGCUGCUCAGAUCCAUUUUCUGGUAGCAGCAGCUGACACGAUCCUAUUUCACAUGGCGUAGGGAAGGCUUAAAUCCAAGCACAGCUCUUUCAACAUGAGAGAAAUUUUAAAAAAUGACCAGGUUCCAUGUGGUAUGGGACCUGCCAAGCUGUUCCUAAGAUGAGUUCCCAGAACCCCAGACUGGUUGUAGUGGGAAGGGACCUUUGGAGUCCCUCUGCUCCCACCCUGCUCCAGCAGGGCCACCCGGAGCUGCUGCCCAGGCCACAUCCAGGUGGCUUUUGGAGCUCUCCAAGGAGGGGACACCACAACCUCUGGGUACCCGUGCCAGAACUCCAGCACCCACCCAGCCCAGAAGUGCUUCUGGUGCUCAGAGGGCUCCUCCUUUUCCCUUUUCCUGGCCAAGGGCGCAGACGGAGGGACCCAUGCCUGCUGUGAGGGCAUCCUCAGCUCCUCUCUGUCUCCCCGAGGCAUCCUCCCAGCUGUGCGAUGCCUCCUCUGGCACGGGGAGCAGCAGGAGCCGCGUGGUUCGCCUCGACGCGAGAGGCCGUGGGUGGAGAGGAGCUGGCGGGGAUCCCAGGAGCCGUCGGGAAGAGGCUGCGAGCGGGGGAGAGCGAGCUCUCCACCCACUCGGGAUGAAAUCACGCCGGUAAAGGCUGCCGGGACGAAGAAGGUGUCAAGUCUAAAUAAAAAAAAAUACAAAAAAAAGAGGAAGGGCACUGGACCAGCGAGGAGGGCAGUUCCUGUGCUGGUGGGCUCAAGGAGGAUCUGGUUUUUGGAGGAGUGCACGGUGCUGGUAACGGAUACGGAGCAGGGAACAAGGGAAGAAUUUGUCACAGGAAGGUUGGCUUUAGCGCGGAAGGAAAAUAGAAGUUGGAUACGUGACCCGAUUGCUGGGGAUUUAAUAACGUGUCUGAUCUGGGGGGGUUGCUGCCACCCAAGCUGCUGCCCUCCCAGUCUGACCCGUGACUGGGAGCACGGGGAGGUAGAAAAGCCCCCCGGGAGCUGGCGUGCUUAAGGCAGCGUGAUGAUGGGCUUCUGGCAGAGAGGUUGCAUUGCCACUUCCCAAAAACUGUGCUGGUGCCAUACCCAAAAAUGAUGUUGGUGCCAGCUGGACACACUCACCAUCUCCACCAGAGUGGUGUCCAUGCCGUACAACCCAACAAGGGACAGCACCGUGGCUUUAGUUCUGUCCCAAAAUUAAAUACCAGCCAGCAUGAAGUCUUUUAGGAUUUUUUUUUUUCCCCAUACUGAUACCUAAUUUACAGUAAACCAAACCUGGGGAGUCGGGGGGGGGGGGGUCGGGAGCCCUUUGGCUCUCAGCAGGCGCAGCCGAGGACAUUGCCUUCAGGUCUGGCUGAGGGGAACGGGCUCCUCAGCACUGCUCCGUCUGCUCCAGCAAAGCAAAAAAAACAACGCGCAAAGCUCCUUCCCCACCGCCAGCGGGUGCAAAAUCGUAAUCAUUGCAGGAGAGAUGCUGCCAAAAAAAAAAAAAAAAAAAAAAAAAAAAAAAGAAAAAAAAGCAUUUCCCUAGCUCGCUCUCUUUUCCCAGAAAACCAGAUGGAUGAAUCAUUAUAACAGCAGCUAUGACAGGGGACCAGACAACAGACUGAGCCCGAAGCCCAGCCCGGUCGAGCCAAGAUGAAAAACUGCCCAAGGAUUUACCAGUCCUCCCCUCCCACGUGUGCUUAAAGGAGCGAGGCUCCACAAAUAGGGCAUCGUGCUCCUGGCUGCCUUGCAGCAUCCCUCCUGGUGGACCAGCAAGCCUGGCUAUCAUUUGGCACGCUCUGGGGCUAGGAGAGCAGUCCCGUGCCUAAAUCCUGUUGAAUGUUGCGAGCAAUGAGGCUGGAAAUCAUUGGAACAGGAGGAGAUGCCCACCUUGGGGCUGCCCACGGAGCAAUUGCUGCAAUGACGGCCUCGUCGGAGGCUCUGCUGUUAUUUCUGCUUCCCAAGGAAGCGGAGCGCAGAGAAAUGAAGGUCCCAAAAUCUCAUAAUUUGGGCUGCUGGGUUCGAGGCGGUCGGUGCAGGAUGUUGAGGACUCAAGGCGCGGAUUCCUCUUGUGCCGUUCGGUUUCCUCCCAGCCCCCUGCUUCGUUUAUCGCCCUCUUCCAACCUGUGCCUGUCGGGCGCUCUCAUUGCGAUCCUCAAAUCCUGAUGCUGCUCUUAGCUUUCGAGUGUUUUGAUCGCUGGCUGCAGAGCUCGAGCCGAGCCACGCUCCCGUCCUCCCCGAGGUAAACAAGGAGUCAGGGGAGGUCGCUGCAGGUCCUGCAGGAAAUAGCAGGGACCAGGAGAUCUCUUCACCUCCCCUGCCCUCUGCAACGUGCAAGGACCCCGUCGCAGGGUGAGGGCAAACCCAAAAAAAUGGCAUCUCGGCCCCAAAAUGCUGCUUUUGGUCUCCGCGGUGGAUUUGGCACUCGGGGCUCCGCAGCAGAGGCAGCUGGGGAGCUGCACCCCACGUCUGGAUAUACCCGCUGGGCUCGAGACCUUGUGCUUGAGGAUUCGUUUGGCUGCGUUUGUGAGCAUGCAGGGAAUUUACCACGAGCCCAGUUUGUCCAUGUGCAGUUUUAUGGGGUACCAGCCAUCCUCCAGCCCUCAAACCCCUGGUGCUUCGUGGCCGUGCAGCACCAGACCCCAAUGAGCUGUGUCCUGGAGGUGGCCUCACGCCUCUCACAAACCCCAGGUACCACCAGGAGCUUUCUUUUUGCCAAAGUUUGGUGCAGAAUUAAAAGCUGUGAGAUAUGCGGAGCAUGAUGAAAACUGAGCAGACAGCUGUAAAUUAGGGGGAAAAAACAACUUGACGGCUGUCACCACCACUACCAGGGAAGGAGAGGUGAUGGGGAGGUGGGUGGUGGGCCUUCAUCCCACCCCAUCAGGUCUUCGGAGGAUUUUUGUGGGCCAGGGGGGAAGGGGCCAACGCCGAGCUGCCUCUUGGUUUGGCACCGAGGGGAAAAGCCAAGUUAAUGCUGCAGCCUAGUGGAGAAAAGCCGGCCGUGCGCAUUGCCAGCAGGGCUAAUUCAGGCAGAGGGAUGUAAAAGGCUGGUGGAAAGCAAACCACGCCGAGAUACGGUGCUGGAGCUUGUUUUUAUGGGAUCCCGAGGGCGAAUUUUAUAACCUAGUCAGGUCUCCAAAAGGUGUUUUGCUGUGCCCGGAGUGAUGCCCCAGUGAAAAGGCUGCGGACAUCACCGUGACCCAUAUCAAAGCCAGCACAGCACAAAUCUCUGAAAACAGUGCUAAGUUUCUGGCAAUACCCCCAUGGGGGCAGCUCUGUGCUCCCAGAAGGAACCAAAAUUGCAUCAGAGCACGUUUACGGGGUGAAAUGGUGAAAAAAAAGUUCCUGCUAUGUGUGAUGUGGAUGCCCGGUGCGUGCAGCCAGGUCUAGGGCACAGCAAAUAUCGGCUGGAAAAUCAGAAGGAUUUCAAAGAAGAGCCCCAGGAGUGAGGCAGGGCUGGAGAAGCACCCCUGGGAGGGGUAAACCCAAGCUCAGAGUGUUAACCAAGCCAGGAGAGUCGAUCUCUCACCACCAACACCGAGUCCCGUGUCUAGGUCCCUCUGGGGACACCAGUCCUGGCUUUGGAGCUUUGUGGUGGGUGUCCCGGAGAGCACCCAUGGGCCAAACCCAUCACUGAUUUCACCCCCUCGCAGGCUCCUCUGGAUGUACUGGGGUCCAUUCCCGAGCAGGAUGGCCCAGGGACCCAGGAGACCUUGUGCCUGCCGUGACAUGUCUGGAUUUCAUCCCUGAUUUUAUCCCUCUCAAACCCAAGACGAACACCAGGGGGAGAAUAAAAACAGAGAGGGCUACUGGUGUGUAAAUAGGUGCAGAUGGGUCAUGAAAAACAGGCAGCGUUGCACGGAGAAGGUAGGGGGGGAGGAUGGAGGAGGAGUGUGGCCAGGAGGAGAAUCAGGAGGAGGAGAGAGACGGCACUGGGGUCGAGGAGAAACACGCAGCUGCGAGGAGCCCGACAGCUGGAAGCCAAAAAUAAACCUCGACGGUGAAUCAAUUUGCUCCGAGGGACGGGUAAAUCGGGGGGAAAGCAACGACCGAGGGCAGAGGACGGAGCACCCAAUGGGCUGAACGAGCAGGAAAACCCACAGAGCAAUGAAUCACCCCCCCCCCCCGAAAAGCCCCUCUUCCCGAAACAAGGCGGGGGUGAGGCAGAAAACAGCAGAGACAGAAACAAUCAAUUACGUGGCCGAGGGAAGUUGACUCCUGCUGGAUAAAUACGCCAGCUGAGCAAAAGGCAGGGAGAAGAUCCGAGUGUCAGAUAAAUCCCCACCAGGGCACGGCCCUACAGGCACGGUGGUGAGGAUGCAGGAGGGGCAGAGAUGCUCCUUCCAGUGGAAUUUGGCCCACGGCUGGGAUUUUGCUCAAUAACCUUGGAGAGAGGCAGAAAUUGGAGAGAAAUUGCAUUCAAAGCUUGAGGAGCAGCUUGAUUUUAAGGAGCAGCUCCUUUUGAACGAACACAGAAGUGAUGGGGAGAGCCUAGAAAAAGCGUGGAGAGAAAGAGGGGUUUCUUUAGGAAAAUGUUUUGUACGCAAUAGCUUUUGGGGUGAAAAAUUUAUAGAGAGGAAUUUGAGGGAUUGCAUCUUGCAGAAAACUUGGUAGGGAGGUGUUUGCUAGUAGGACCUCACUGCUGUCAGCCACCCUAGGAGAAGUCCUACCUAAGAACCCCAAAAAAAGCAAUGACCCAUGAUUUGGAAAUGAAUUUUGGGUGUUUUACCAAAAUUAGAGGGAAUUGGGGAAAGCCUCCUCCCACCUCCACGAUGCAGCUGUGAGGACUGUGAGCAUAAAUGGCCCAGGGACUCUUGGGGUGGAGAUGCCAUGUGUGAGGGGGGUCCCACCAGUUGUCCCCUGCUCGGCUCCUCUCCAAACCAGUGUUUCCCAGUUUGACCUCUCCAAGGGACAUGGGUGUCCCAACACUGAGUGAACAGAGGGCAUAGGCAGAGAACCAAAUCCCAUUGAUGGGAACCCAAAACCCAACUCUGCCCAGAUGCUGAGCUCUGCACAUCCACGUGGGGAAGGAGAUGCUUCCACCCAAUCCCUUGGUGCACUCAGAGAGGGCCCCAACCCCAAGGGUUUGAUCCACAGACCGUAGGGCUUCCCUCGGAUGGAGAUGGAGAAGAUGAGCCACGAACUCUGCUGAUGUGAGGCCACCUUGUCACUAGAGGGAAGCAGAACCAUGUGCACGGAGCUGCUGCGGCACUGCUGCUCCAGCGAUGGAGCCAGCGAGCAGAAGCACCUGCCCAGAGCUCCUGUGGUGGAGAAGGAGAGGACACCUUCAUGGGGUCACUGAACGCUUCAGGUUGGGAGCACCUCAAAGCCCACCCAGUUCCAACCACUUGCCAUGGACAAGGACACCUCCCAGCAGACCGGGUUGUCCCAAAGCCUCAUCCACCUGCUGCACCUCAGGGGCACAUCUGGGUCCUCAUAUCCCAUCCCUGGUGCUGAGCUGGCAUUAGCUUUGGGGGCUGAAGAGGGGUUCGAGGACCCUUGAAAGUUGAAGGUUCAAGGACCCAUGGUCAAUGGGGUUGACUGGGGUCUUCAGGCACUGCCAGCUCUGCAGAGGAGAUGCCCGAUGUUCUCAAGGACAAGCCUUCACCAGAGCUUGGCCAACCCUCCAUGGCCCUCUUGGGAUGGGUGAGCAGUGUCACUGGGUGUGUAAGGACAUGGGGCUGGAUCAGGGGAGGAGUUGGGGUGGUGGGAAGGAGCCAGGGACCCCAAUUACCCUUGGUGAGAUGGUGUUUGUGGUGCUGCUGGUCAAUGCACCCAGCUCACAGCUCCUCCUCCACGGAGGACACCAAGCCCUGGAGCCACUUCUCUUGGGCCUGGAGAUGCUCUUCUCUGGAAAUAAAACAGUGCCCUGGGGUUCUGGGGCAGGUGGGAUGGCAGCAGAAGACACGAGAUGGCAGCUGAUCAGAAAUGACAUCUCAGAUAACGAAGCAGCUUUCUUCCUCUGGUUUUGGCACCCAGGGGCAAGAUCCAUCCAAGGGCAUCCACGCGGGGAACCACAGGCAAAUUCCUUCCCGUGCGCCACACCAGUACUGUUGGGUUAAGCAUUGUACUGAUAAAAAAAUAAAUUUUGUUGUGCUGUUAAAUAGA